rnacentral:rRNA from 1 species
GACGUAGGGGGCCAGCGUUGUUCGGAAUUACUGGGUGUAAAGGGUUCGUAGGCGGUGUGGCAAGUCGGGAGUGAAAUUCUGGGCUCAACUCAGAGACUGCUUCCGAAACUGCUGUGCUUGAGUGUGGGAGAGGCGCGUGGAAUUGCAGGUGUAGCGGUGAAAUGCGUAGAUAUCUGCAGGAACACCCGUGGCGAAAGCGGCGCGCUGGACCACUACUGACGCUGAGGAACGAAAGCUAGGGGAGCAAACAGG